rnacentral:ncRNA from 2 species
GUUCCAUCAAGAGUCGGCGGAGGGAUUGGCCCUGUGAUGCCGCAGCAACCUUCGAUAGAAAGGUGCUAAUUCCAACAGUUAUACUACUGGAAGAUGGGUA